ensembl:lncRNA
UAACAGCAUGGCAGAGAUGAAACCACAACUCUGAGAAAAACUAACCUUACUAAUAACUUCACCAGAAGGACCCCCCCACUCUCUUGAUUCGCUUGAGACAGAGAAGAGACGUGAAGAAAGAGAUGCUACAUUUGUGGAUGAUAACAGGGCGGACCUCAUUCAGAGGGUUACCACGGUGAAACUCAUAGCAGAAACACUUCUCCAGUGGCGUAUGAUCCACAAAGAGGCGUACCUUAAGAUCCUUGCUGCCCAGACCACACCAGAUCAGAUGAGGGAGCUGUACAACGUCUUAAACACAGACAAAGUCAAAUCAGCCUUCUAUAGGCUCCUUCAGAAGGAAGAGCCUUAUUUGGUCCAGGUGCCAGGUAGGUUAUACGGUCUGAUGUACCACGGCUGUCAUCCAAUCAGAAUUAAGGGCUCGAACCACCCAUUUUAUGUCUGAUAUACCACAGCUUUUAACCAAUCAGCAUCCAGAACCCAAACCACCCAGUUUAUAACAACGAUAAUAUUAUAAUACAUGAAGGCACAAUUUAUAGUACAAUAUGUACGUGUGUUUUGUAAAUUGUGCACAGUAUUUAGCAAUAAUAAUUAACCAGUUGUGAUGUGUGAUGUGUAAUGUGUAAUGUGUGAGUGUGAGU